UCUCUCUUUCUUUCUUUCUUUCUUUCUUUCUUUCUUCCUUCCUUCCUUCCUUCCUUCCUUCCUUCCUUUCUUUCUUUCUUUCUUUUUCCCCCGAGACAGGGUUUCUCUGUGUAGCCCUGGCUGUCUUGGAACUCACUCUGUAGACCAGGCUGGCCCCGAACUCAGAAAUCUGCCUGCCUCUGCCUCCCAAGUGCUGGGAUUAAAGGUGUGCACCACCACGCCCGGCUGAUUCCAGGUUUCUUUAGAGUCCUCUAUUUCUAACCAGGUGUUUGGUUUAUGGAGUAAAACAGAUACCUAAAUUAGGCCAGGUAGGACUGCCUCAAAGCCAUGUUCUGGAUCUAAACUUUUCCAGGCUGGAAGAGACCCCUCCUGAAGACUAGGCUUGCCUGCUUUUCUUUUCCUGACACUUAUUUUUAUUUAAUUAUCUUCUUUCAUCAUAAUUGAUUCAUUUAGUGAGUGGUGUAUAUCUGCUCUUGGGUUCGUGCACAUGCACAUGGAGGCCCGAGAUAGUCAUCGAGGUCUUCCUCUAACACUCCCACCUAAGUUGGGUUUUUUUUUUUGUUUUUGUUUUUGUUUUUGAGGGGGGGACAGAGUCUCUCGUUGAACCUGAGCUGUCUGGGUGCUGAUGUGGGUGUUGAGGACGCAAACUCAGGCCCUAUGUCUGUGCAGCAGGUAUUUUGCCAAAUGAGCCGUUUCCCCAACUCAUCCCGUUUUAUUUUUAUGCUUGAUACCAGUUAGUAGAAAUGAGUGAGAAGAGAAAAUGACUUUUGAAUAUCCUUUGAAGGAGGGAGCUGCUGGAGACAGGAUAAUCUUUCAUGCGUCAUUUUGUGAGUCUCCUUGGAACGCUGGCCUGUGGCGAAGGAAGCGCUGUGAUAGAAACAGUUCGUUUCCAUAAACCAAAGAACCCCAUUUAUCCAGCAUCAGUAAAAUUGUUCCAGAAUGAAACUCGAAGAAACUGUUGCUUCUGGGUACACUCCUAAAGUGAAUCCACUCUGCCCCAGGGUGGCAGUGUCUUCCAUGAGGUGUGAUAAGGUUAGACACUGCAUUCUUCACCUUGAGUGAGAGUUUCUAAACUUCCCACGGUGGCCUUCUGCUUGGACCGCUCCUGCUCUUGGGAAGCCCUGUUGAGAUGGCCGGGGAGAUUCCUAUUCUGCAAAUGCUCUCCAUAGCAACAGCUGUUGUCCAUGAAUGUCCUCUCUCGACUUCUCACUGUUGGGGUCUCUCCUUGAUGUUGAUGUUCUCAGAGGGGCAGGGGUGUGUGAGCACAUGAUGCUAAGAGGUAGCCAUUUCUAACUGCUAUGGAGGUCCUAAUUUUUAUUGCUCACGUGGAUGGUUCUAGAAACUCUGACAAAAAAGCCAUAAUAAUCCAUCUUUCUUUUGUGCAUGCUAACAUCUUCAUUCUAGUAAGAUUUUUGUAGGGACCGGAAACAACACACACACACAGACACACACGGACACACACACAUACACACAGAGGCUGAUUAUAUGUGUGUAUGGUAUAUAUACAUAUAUGUAAUGUAGAAGAUAUUAACUUAAAUUUUGCUUACGAUUGAUUAUUAUACUAAAAUGUAAUUUAAGAGGCUUUAAAAUUCC
rnacentral:lncRNA from 1 species